rnacentral:rRNA from 1 species
CGAACGCUGGCGGCGUGCUUAACACAUGCAAGUCGAACGGAAAGGCCCUGCUUUUGUGGGGUGCUCGAGUGGCGAACGGGUGAGUAACACGUGAGUAACCUGCCCUUGACUUUGGGAUAACUUCAGGAAACUGGGGCUAAUACCGGAUAGGAGCUCCUGCUGCAUGGUGGGGGUUGGAAAGUUUCGGCGGUUGGGGAUGGACUCGCGGCUUAUCAGCUUGUUGGUGGGGUAAUGGCUUACCAAGGCUUUGACGGGUAGCCGGCCUGAGAGGGUGACCGGCCACAUUGGGACUGAGAUACGGCCCAGACUCCUACGGGAGGCAGCAGUGGGGAAUAUUGCACAAUGGGCGGAAGCCUGAUGCAGCAACGCCGCGUGCGGGAUGACGGCCUUCGGGUUGUAAACCGCUUUCGCCUGUGACGAAGCGUGAGUGACGGUAAUGGGUAAAGAAGCACCGGCUAACUACGUG